rnacentral:rRNA from 1 species
CCCUGCUUUUGUGGGGUGCUCGAGUGGCGAACGGGUGAGUAACACGUGAGUAACCUGCCCUUGACUUUGGGAUAACUUCAGGAAACUGGGGCUAAUACCGGAUAGGAGCUCCUGCUGCAUGGUGGGGGUUGGAAAGUUUCGGCGGUUGGGGAUGGACUCGCGGCUUAUCAGCUCGUUGGUGGGGUAGUGGCUUACCAAGGCUUUGACGGGUAGCCGGCCUGAGAGGGUGACCGGCCACAUUGGGACUGAGAUACGGCCCAGACUCCUACGGGAGGCAGCAGUGGGGAAUAUUGCACAAUGGGCGGAAGCCUGAUGCAGCAACGCCGCGUGCGGGAUGACGGCCUUCGGGUUGUAAACCGCUUUCGCCUGUGACGAAGCGUGAGUGACGGUAAUGGGUAAAGAAGCACCGGCUAACUACGUGCCAGCAGCCGCGGUGAUACGUAGGGUGCGAGCGUUGUCCGGAUUUAUUGGGCGUAAAGGGCUCGUAGGUGGUUGAUCGCGUCGGAAGUGUAAUCUUGGGGCUUAACCCUGAGCGUGCUUUCGAUACGGGUUGACUUGAGGAAGGUAGGGGAGAAUGGAAUUCCUGGUGGAGCGGUGGAAUGCGCAGAUAUCAGGAGGAACACCAGUGGCGAAGGCGGUUCUCUGGGCCUUUCCUGACGCUGAGGAGCGAAAGCGUGGGGAGCGAACAGGCUUAGAUACCCUGGUAGUCCACGCUGUAAACGGUGGGUACUAGGUGUGGGGUCCAUUCCACGGGUUCCGUGCCGUAGCUAACGCUUUAAGUACCCCGCCUGGGGAGUACGGCCGCAAGGCUAAAACUCAAAGGAAUUGACGGGGCCCCGCACAAGCGGCGGAGCAUGCGGAUUAAUUCGAUGCAACGCGUAGAACCUUACCUGGGUUUGACAUGGAUCGGGAGUGCUCAGAGAUGGGUGUGCCUCUUUUGGGGUCGGUUCACAGGUGGUGCAUGGCUGUCGUCAGCUCGUGUCGUGAGAUGUUGGGUUAAGUCCCGCAACGAGCGCAACCCUUGUUCACUGUUGCCAGCACGUUAUGGUGGGGACUCAGUGGAGACCGCCGGGGUCAAC